rnacentral:lncRNA from 1 species
UAGCACAAGGACAAAACAACAACACUGAUCCUUCCUUAUUUAAAAAUGAGAGGGAGCUCCCUUGUGGUGUAGUGGGUUAAGGAUCUGACAUUGUCACUGCUGCAGCUGCAGUGACUGCUCUGGUGCAGGUUUGAUCCCUACCCCAGGAACUUCCCCAUGCCCUGCACAGCCAAAACAAAACAAAACAAAACAAAAAAACAGAAUAUUUUGUUUAUCAUGGAUUUUUUUGUGCAGUAAUUUAGAUUUUUUUUAAAAAAAUAUUGCAUCAAAAUACAGUUCAUCUUUUUUUUUUUUUUUUUUUUGAUUUCUCUUUAGGGCCAUACCUGCAGCAUAUGGAAGUUUCCAGGUUAGGGGUCGAAUUGGAGCUGCAGCUGCCAGCCUACACCACAGCCACAGCAACGAAAGAUCCUUAACUCACUGAGUGAGGCCAGGGAUUGAAACCGCAUCCUCAUGGAUGAGUCGGAUUCUUAAACUGCUGAGCCACAAUAAGGACUCCAAGUUUGUGGGGCCUGCCUUGAACUGUACACCUGAGGCAAGUGCCUCUCUUGCCUCACCCUAGUCCCCACCCUGCAGGGCAGCCUUCACAAUGCCUCCAGCGUGGCCCUUGAGACCUGGGACCAAUCGCAUGCCUUCUCUGUCUGAUUGUCUUCAUUCACAUGUAGGGGAGGGUGGACUAGACAGCCCCUCGGGCCCUCCAGGUCCAAGAUAUGGGGUUUCAUGACUAGGUAUGGGGAAACUGGGUGGAGCAGGAGACAAUGAGUCCCAGUCCGGGAAGAGAAAGGGAAGCUGUCUGCCUCCUCCUACCAGAGAAAGAGGACCAGUAGAAGUUCAACUUUUGCUUGAAUUGAAUCUCAGUUUCCCCAAUAGCUACAACAAGCCAAAGGAAAGGACUCUGUGGCCAAGGUGGAAUAUCCUAGAAUUCUAUGGUGCAUUCUGACUCUGAUUUCUUGACAACCCUAUAAGAUGGGUCCUACUACUAUUCUUGGAUGAAUAAUAGAAAAACAGAGGCUCUGAAAAGUUACAGACCUGUCUAGGGUUACAGUGUUUGUAAGUAGUGAAGCUCACACUUGAACCCAGGCAGGUGAAUUCUACCCUCUACUGUCUACCCAAGAGGUCUCACUGCCCAAGGCAAACUAGCCUCUGCAACCAGAUUCCUGUGACAUGCAGUUGAUUUACUCCACUUCCAAAUGAGAAACAGAGAAGCCACCUGUUAAUAAAGGCAGCACCAGGACCAGUGGUCAGGAACCCUGGCUUCUGGCUCUCGGCUCCUGGCUCCCAUCCUGCAGACACCUUCUUCUGUUUGCCUCUCAAAGUGAGGCCUCACUGGGAACUCUGCGUGCCCUGCCUGGGCCUCCAGCUGCUGUUUACUCAGCUAGGUGUGGGCUCUGCCUGGCUCCCAGUCUGCUGUUUGCACAGUAAAUGUCACCCAGUCUAUUCCCCCACUCAAGGACAGGAACAGAGACUGAAAGGAGCAUUCCUUUGCUGGUUUCAGACACCUUGAGUUAAGUUUUCAGUUUCUAUCUAAUGAAAUGCAAAUCACUAUGGUGGGGGUCAUCUCAGAAGCAUCUUGUCCUAAAAGUGAUAGGCCAGGCCUGGGACCUUUCCAUGUCUGUGCAACCUCCAGGAAACCAGACUGAAGUCACAGGGAUUUACGUUUCAAUCUCACUUCCACCACGGGAUAGUUGCAGGACCUUGGGCUUAACCUCUCAGAGCCCCAUGUUCCUCCUUUGAGAAAUGGAGCCAAUUCCUACCUUGCAGAAAUAAAAGAGAGAGAAGAUGCCAAGCACUUUGCACCAUGAGCCUGGCAAAUGUCCCAUACUUGUUAGCUAAUGUUCCUUAUAAUGACUUCUUUCAUACAUCUUCAUGCUGGUUUCUUUGAAAAUAAGGGGAGCUUUACAAGCAAGGAGGACACAAACAAGGCUUUCUGCUCUUAGUUACUCUGAUUUCCUAUUACCUGGCUUCUUCCAGAAAAAGCUUCCAAGAACUUUUAGACUCAGAGUAAACAAACAAGGGAGAUUUUAAUCAGUAAAACAGAUGUGCAGAUUACAUCUUUCUCAGGAAGGCCGCUGCCUACAGCUCCAAGCAAAUCCACUCAAUCAGUAACUUUACCUCCCCGAUCGAUUUCCAACCAGCAGUUCCUGUUUUUGAACCAGGAUAUGCAAACAAGAGCACUUACUGGAAGGGAGGGUUCAGGGCCUCUCAGAUUUCGUCAGCUGCCCACUCUCCCAGGAGAGCAGGUGGGACCAGUCUAGCCAGCAGCCAAAGCCUGAAGGCAAACUCCACAUUUCAAGGUCUACAGGGCCUCUUCCUUUUGAGUUUUUUAUUUCAAUGGGAUACACAGAAGAAAUGCCAAGGAGGAAACAGGGUGGAUUUACAGUUGCCAAGCCAAGUGGGGUACGGGGGAAAAAAAACAAGAUGAAGUGGAAAAGGUCAGCUACCUCACUGUGCAAAGUGAGGAGGUGGGGGGAGAGCUACAGCCGGGCCACAGCCUCAGCUCUUAGAACCCUGGGUUCCCAGCCCACUUCCUGACCCCAAGAGAUAACCUCUCCCUGGGCCUCCAAGGGGAAGCGACAACAUCACCCAAGCUCAGGCACCUGGAGUCCCUUCAGGUUUCUUUAGGGAGAGAAGCAGAGAGAGGAACGGGGGAGAGGGUGUGAAGAAUUUAAAGCCAAACAAGCGAAGUGUGGGCAUGGGAGGGAAAUCCUCCCUCUCUCUCUUUCUCCUCCCUUCAUUUUUAGAGAAAAGCUCUUGGUUAAAACAAAAAUAUUAAGGAAGUCUUGAAGGGGGCUAAGGAUGAGGGUAGGCAAAGGACAAGGGAUGUUCCAGGAAGUUGAAAUAAGUUUACAGAAAUCCAGGAUCUUUUUAUCCACUUAGUCUCCGGAAAAGUAGCAGGUGUUAAAGGUUGAAUAUAUAUGUUAGUUUCAGGUCUUUUUUAGCACCCGAUGAGCUAUUUACUGCUUUCUAGAGAUUCUAGGGCAAGAGCCAGGUGGCAAGUAGCCUCUCUAGUGUGGAGAAGGGACAGCGGGAAACAUAAAGCUCAAUCCUGUGCAAACUCCUACUCAUUCUUCAAAGCCC